UAAGGGUUGACCUCGGAUCAGGUAGGGAUACCCGCUGAACUUAAGCAUAUCAAUAAGCGGAGGAAAAGAAACCAACAGGGAUUGCCUCAGUAACGGCGAGUGAAGCGGCAAUAGCUCAAAUUUGAAAUCCGGCUCUUUUAGAGUCCGAGUUGUAAUUUGUAGAGGAUGUUUCGGCUUACGCCCCGGUUUAAGUUCCUUGGAACAGGACGUCAUAGAGGGUGAGAAUCCCGUUUGUGGCCGGCGGCUUCCGCUAUGUAAAACCCCUUCGACAAGUCGAGUUGUUUGGGAAUGCAGCUCUAAAUGGGAGGUAAAUUUCUUCUAAAGCUAAAUAUUGGCCAGAGACCGAUAGCGCACAAGUAGAGUGAUCGAAAGAUGAAAAGCACUUUGGAAAGAGAGUUAAAAAGYACGUGAAAUUGUUGAAAGGGAAGCGCUUGCRACYAGACUUGUCUUCAGUUGCUCCGCCGGUCCUUCGCCCGG
rnacentral:rRNA from 1 species